ACAUUUUUCUUUCUUUUGGAGAUGGGAUUGCAAAGAAUAUGGCUUGAAGUAUUUGGAGAUGGAUUUCAUAUUUUGGCUUGUAAUUCUCCUAUGGAAUGAGUGUGAACGUACGCCUCUAAUAAGUUCUUUGAUGGCUAUGGUGGUGGAGCUUGCCCGACAGGAGGUUGAUCUUCCUUGACAGAUGGUUUAGUGGUUGAAGCCUUUGUGAUCAACCACAUUGACAUCACUUGUAGCAUAUUUGUUGUUAAAACUUAUUUCGAGAAGCUUUCUUUUGAUAUUAUUAUUUCAUACCAUAAGAAUUGAGGUUUGUUAACAUGUUAUGUUACUGUUUGUUUUUUUUCUAGCAAAGUUAAAUACUUGUGUUGAAAUAAAUGUUAUUUACA